rnacentral:rRNA from 1 species
GAUGAACGCUGGCGGCGUGCCUAAUACAUGCAAGUCGAGCGAACAGAUGAGGUGCUUGCUCCUCUGACGUUAGCGGCGGACGGGUGAGUAACACGUGGAUAACCUACCUAUAAGACUGGGAUAACUUCGGGAAACCGGAGCUAAUACCGGAUAAUAUAUUGAACCGCAUGGUUCAAUAGUGAAAGACGGUUUUGCUGUCACUUAUAGAUGGAUCCGCGCCGCAUUAGCUAGUUGGUAAGGUAACGGCUUACCAAGGCAACGAUGCGUAGCCGACCUGAGAGGGUGAUCGGCCACACUGGAACUGAGACACGGUCCAGACUCCUACGGGAGGCAGCAGUAGGGAAUCUUCCGCAAUGGGCGAAAGCCUGACGGAGCAACGCCGCGUGAGUGAUGAAGGUCUUCGGAUCGUAAAACUCUGUUAUUAGGGAAGAACAAAUGUGUAAGUAACUAUGCACGUCUUGACGGUACCUAAUCAGAAAGCCACGGCUAACUACGUG